ACACUAUUUAUGUAGGUAAUAAAUCAUAGAUUGCACACUUCUGGUUUCAAUAAUAUUCGGUGACUCCAGCUCUAACUGUAAAACGUAACACUGCACACAAAAAACUGGUUCUCCUCUGACGUUCAUUCAUGCACAUUAAAACACCGCACUCGAUGUCCGAAAAUCAAUUUCAAUUCAAUUGCGAAAAAUUCCUGGAAAUUACGUCGCAGCCGUUAAUGUGUGUAUGGUUUUUUUUUCGGGCUUUUCUGAUAUUCUCAGCAAUUUCGAUUCCCACUGAAAUCGUAUACGAAACAUUCAAAACAAAACAAUGCCCCGUCCAGGGUCUGGAGGAAAAAGACGCGACAACGACGAAAGAUACGGAAAGACUGAAGCGAACUUAACUCACCUGAGCUCAGAGCUGAGCUACCUGUCAGGUAGUUAAUGUGCAUGUGUAUGCGGUUGUGUGUGUGUGAGUGGUGUGUGGACAUUGAGUGAGCAGAGCGGGCGUUCGUGUACAUGAACCGUUUUACAACCUGAUACGCCGCUGCAACACGUGUAACCGGCACACAGUAUCUGUCUGCUACACAAGUGCUCAAGUAUCUGAUCUGGCGACUAGUAGCUGCGUUAAUAUCAGCGAAACAUGCAAACUCUGUGCCAGCAAAUAUCCUCACACAUCAAAAUUAAUGCUCGAACAAGCUACACACUAAUAUACAAAUAAAUACAUACAAUACAUACAUACA